rnacentral:lncRNA from 1 species
GCUUAGUAGUGGUGAGGAGGAGGGGGUGAAGCGUAGACAUAAUGGGGUGGGGGUGGAGGAGGAGACUUGUAUUUGUAAACUGGAGGAGGAGGUGGUGGAGACUUGUACUUGUAAGGGUGCUUGGGGGGUGAUGGUGGGGGUGGUGGGGGUGACUUGUACUUGUAGGGGUGCUUGGGUGGUGACGGUGGGGGUGGGGACUUGUACUUGUAAGGGUGCUUGGGGGGUGAUGGUGGUGGUGGUGGAGGUGACUUGUACUUGUAGGGGUGCUUGGGUGGUGACGGUGGUGGUGGUGGGGGGGACUUGUACUUGUAGGGAUGCUUUGGUGGGGAUGGUGGUGGUGGUGGUGGGGACUUGUACUUGUAGGGAUGCUUAGGUGGGGAUGGUGGUGGUGGUGGAGACUUGUAUUUGUAAGGAUGCUUUGGUGGUGAUGUUGGUGGAGGUGGUGGGGACUUGUACUUGUAAGGGUGCUUGGGUGGUGAUGGAGGUGGAGGUGGUGGAGACUUAUACUUGUAAACUGGAGGUGGUGGGGGUGGAGACUUGUACUUGUAGGGGUGCUUGGGUGAUGAUGGAGGUGGAGGUGGUGGAGACUUAUACUUGUAAACUGGAGGUGGUGGGGGUGGAGACUUGUACUUGUAAGGGUGCUUGGGUGGUGAUGGUGGGGGUGGGGACUUGUACUUGUAGGGGUGUUUAGGUGGUGAUGGUGGUGGUGGUGGUGGGGACUUGUACUUGUAAGGAUGCUUGGGUGGUGAUGGUGGUGGAGGUGGAGGAGACUUGUACUUGUAAGGAUGCUUGGGUGGUGAUGGUGGUGGAGGUGGUGGAGACUUAUACUUGUAAACAGGAGUUGGUGGGGGAGGAGAUUUGUACUUGUAAGGUUUCUUGUGUGGUGGUGGUGGAGGAGAGUAGACCGGAGGAGGCGGUGGGGGAGACUUGUAAUGGUAGGGUGGUGGUGGGUAUUUCUUAGGAGGUGGUGGAGGAGAAGAAUAAGUGUAAUCUGCAGAGGUUUCAAAAGGCAAACUGAGAGACACUGCUAGAACUAAAAGAGUGAGAAAGAGAGAGGUCAUUGAUGACCCCAUUUCCCCCAACUUUACUUCUAAAAAUGGGUUUAAUUUGGUUUAUGCUCGUAGACACCCUCUUCUCUCCCUUUAUA